rnacentral:rRNA from 1 species
AACGAACGCUGGCGGCAGGCUUAACACAUGCAAGUCGAGCGCCUCGCAAGGGGAGCGGCAGACGGGUGAGUAACGCGUGGGAACGUGCCCUUUGGUUCGGAACAACUCCGGGAAACUGGAGCUAAUACCGGAUAAGCCCUUCGGGGGAAAGAUUUAUCGCCAAAGGAUCGGCCCGCGUCUGAUUAGCUAGUUGGUGAGGUAAUGGCUCACCAAGGCGACGAUCAGUAGCUGGUCUGAGAGGAUGAUCAGCCACACUGGGACUGAGACACGGCCCAGACUCCUACGGGAGGCAGCAGUGGGGAAUAUUGGACAAUGGGCGCAAGCCUGAUCCAGCCAUGCCGCGUGAGUGAUGAAGGCCUUAGGGUUGUAAAGCUCUUUUGUCCGGGAAGAUAAUGACUGUACCGGAAGAAUAAGCCCCGGCUAACUUCGUGCCAGCCGCCGCAGUAACAC